UGGGGAAUAUUGGACAAUGGGCGCAAGCCUGAUCCAGCAAUGCCGCGUGUGUGAAGAAGGCCUUCGGGUUGUAAAGCACUUUUAUCAGGAGCGAAAUACUACGGGUUAAUAACCUGUGGGGCUGACGGUACCUGAGGAAUAAGCACCGGCUAACUUCGUGCCAGCAGCCGCGGUAAUACGAAGGGUGCAAGCGUUAAUCGGAAUUACUGGGCGUAAAGCGUGCGUAGGCGGUUUGUUAAGUCUGCUGUGAAAUCCCCGGGCUCAACCUGGGAAUGGCAGUGGAUACUGGACGGCUAGAGUGUGUCAGAGGGUGGUGGAAUUCCCGGUGUAGCGGUGAAAUGCGUAGAGAUCGGGAGGAACAUCAGUGGCGAAGGCGGCCACCUGGGACAACACUGACGCUGAGGCACGAAAGCGUGGGGAGCAAACA
rnacentral:rRNA from 1 species